rnacentral:lncRNA from 1 species
CGGAGGCUGGGAAGUACAAGAUCAAGUUGCUGGCAGAUCUGGUGUCUGCCUCCGCUGGUGAUAACCAGGAAAACAGGGUCUGGAGUAGACCUCCAGCAAACUCCAACAGACCUGCAGCUGAGGGACCUGACUGUUAGAAGGAAAACUAACAAACAGAAAGUAAUAGCAUCAACAUCAACAAAAAGGACAUCCACACCAAAACCCUAUCUGUAGGUCACCAUCAUCAAAGACCAAAGGCAGAUAAAACCACAAAGGUGGGGAGAAACCAGAGCAGAAAAGCUGAAAAUUCUGAAAACCAGAGUGCCCCUUCUCCCCUAAAGGAUCACAGCUCCUCGCCAGCAACGGAACAAAGCAGGACAGAGAAUGACUUUGACGAGCUGACAGAAGUAGGCUUCAGAAAGUCGGUAAUAACAAACUUCUCUGAGCUAAAGGAGGAUGUACAAACCCAUUGCAAGGAAGUUAAAAACCUUGAAAAAAGAUUAGAUGAAUGGCUAACUGGAAUAAACAGUGUAGAGAAGACCUUAAAUGACCUGACGGAGCUGAAAACCAUGGCACAAGAACUACAUGACGCAUUCACAAGCCUCAGUAGCCGAUUCGAUCAAGUGGAAGAAAGGGUAUCAGUGAUUGAAGAUCAAAUGAAUGAAAUGAAGUGAGAAGAAAAGUUUAGAGAAAAAAGAGUAAAAAGAAAUGAACAAAGCCUCCAAGAAAUAUGGGACUAUGUGAAAAGACCAAAACUACAUUUGAUUGGCGGACCUGAAAGUGACGGGGGGAAUGGAACCAAGCUGGGAAACACUCUUCAGGAUAUUAUCCAGGAGAACUUCCCCAACCUAGCAAGGCAGGCCAACAUUCAAAUUCAGGAAAUACAGAGAACACUACAAAGAUAGUCCUCGAGAAGGAGCAACCCCAAGACACAUAAUUGUCAGAUUCACCAAAGUUGAAAUAAAGGAAAAAAUGCUAAGGGCAGCCAGAGAGAAAGGUCAGGUUACCUACAAAGGGAAGCCCAUCAGACUAAUAGCAGAUCUCUCAGCAGAAACCCUACAAGCCAGGAGAGAGUGGGGGCCAAUAUUCAACAUUCUUUAAGAAAAUAAUUUUCAACUCAGAAUUUCAUAUCCAGCCAAAUUAAGCUUCAUAAGUGAAGGAGAAAUAAAAUCCUUUACAGACAAGCAAAUGCUGAGUUGUAUCUACUUUUAAAUCCAAUGUGAUAACUAUGUCUUUUAACUGGCAAUUUUAGACCAUUUGCAUUCAAUAUAAUUAUAGAUUUGCAUUUAAAUCCACCAUUUUGCUAGAUGUUUUUAAUGUUUUUUAAAUAAUUAUUUUUUUCUCUGCCUUGUUUGUAUUAAUUAUCUAUUUUUUAUGAUGGGAUCUUAUCAAUAUUGCUUAUUAUACUUCUUUAUUUUGGGUCUUUUAUCAUAUAUGUCUUUAACUUAUCAUAGUCUGUUUCAAAAUAUUAUAUAAUUCUCAUGUAGUAUAAGAACAUCAUAACAAUAUAUUUUUACUUCCUCUAUUUUAUCUCUUGUGCUAUUAUUGGCGUUCAUUAUAUUCAUACGUAUUUUAUAGAAAAUGCAUUUUUAGAACUUAUGCCUUUAAACAAUUAUCUUUUUAAAAAAAUUAAAAGGAGAAGAAAUGUGUUUUAUACUUACUCUUUUAAAAAAUUCUUUUUCAAUGUUCUUCUUUGUGUAAAUUGAUAUUGCCAUCUUUUACUAGCCUCCUUUAACGUUUCUUUUAGUGUAUAUCUCCUGGAAAUGAAUUAUUGCUACCUGUAUUUGUUUGAAAAAAUGUGUUUCUAUCACCAUCAUUUUUUAUCUCUCUAUGAAUAAGUCCAAUAUUUUUUAUUUAUUGAUAAGUGAUAAUAGAGUUUUUACUAUGCACCAGAUUCUAUGACUAUGUAUAUAUGAAAUGCAUCUAACCUAGUCCUACUGUGGAGGAAUACUCAGAAAAGGCUUUGCUUUAAAGAAAGUAGUAUAUUAGUUAAGAUGUAGAAGCUAAAUCAUAAAUGCAGUAAAUGUAGACAUGUAAUCUGUAGUUGACGGCACUACUUUUUAAAUACAAUCAGCCAAAAAAUUGGCAUUUUCUAUUUUCCAGAGUUAGAAUUUCUUAAUAAAAUUAGAAGGUUUUGAACUGAUUAGAAUUUGGUCAUUUUGUACAUGUAUCAGUAAAAUUGUACCAUGUACUGUUGUAUUUCACGGCAGAUAAACAAAUCAGGUAAAUAUUGCUUUCCAAAAUGAGUACCUAUUUAAAAAAUGUAUUGGGCCAUUUAAAUGCCCUGUUGUCAACUGUGGGAUAUCUAUAAAGUCAUCAAAAGCAUAUUUAUUACAUAGAUUCUGUGGCAUAUUUUUAGUGUGCUUUAGAACAAAUAUAAGACAAUGCAACAGAGUUUGCCCAUUCCUCUUUAGUAAAAAAAGCUAAGACUGCAGUCUCCUCUUUUCCCUAAAUGUCAUCUACAAAAUUAACAAUUGCCAAAUACAACAAAUCAACAAUUGACAACCUGAUGAUAGUGCCGCAAAUCCAUUUAAAGUUUAAACUGUCUCUAAUAACUAUUUUCAUUCAGGAGUGUGGUAGGAGAAGAUGAGGUUAGGGAGGAGCUCAUUCUUCUCCCAGUACCAGUACUGCUCACUAGAAAAUAUUAGAUUUUGUAAAUUUUAAUUUAGAAUGGCAGCAAGUAAGGAUAGAAGAUGCAAACACCCAAUUGCCAUGUAAUUGUCUGGUAUUCUUCUCAUAAGCAACAUUUCCCUGAUAAUAGUCAGAUAUUGGAUUAACUUCAUGAUCCAAUGGCAUAGUUUAAGUGGUAUACCUGUUUCUUAUUUCAUUGUGUGCACUUUGUCAAGAAUAAACUCUAGCUUUCAAUAUUUAUAAACAAGAGCUCAGUACCACUUAAUAUGAUAACAACACAGAAUGAGGGCAAGGGUUGUCAAACUGUUACUUAAAAUAUCUGAGAGGCAAUGUUUGGUUAAAGUGUGGUGAGAUAGUGUUGGUAACGUUAUAAACUGGAGAACAGCUUUAGAGAGUAAAAAUGACAUUGAUCCUGAAUUCCACUGGUACUACUUUACCACAGAUGAGGUCUGGGGGAGAAUGAU